AGUUUUGCUCAGAGAAGGGUAGAUCUGCAGAAUUUUGGGCAGCAGGGGCUUCUUCUUCAACUCCUGUUUUGUUCUCUCCUGUGGUCAACGCUAUCUGUCCUCUGUUUCUUUGCUCAGUUCAAGUCAAGAUCACAGGGGUUCGAGCAAGAGAGAUGAGGGAUAUCUCUGCAUCUGGUGUGAAGUCUCCUCCGUUCGUGUCUUGGCUUUGCUCGACGGGGGUUAGAUUUGCAGCACCUUGGACCGCAGAGGCUUCCUCUACAUAUCCUUUUCUGUUCGCACAUGUGUUUGUCGCUGGAUGUGUGCUGUUUAAUUGCUCGGGUCGGGUCGAAGAAGCAGGGGUUCGAGCGAGAAAGAUGAGAGAAAGUUCUGCAUCUGGUGGGGAGUUUCUACCGUUUGCAUUUGUGCUUGAUCUUGGAUUUGCUCUGUUUAGGCCCCUGUUAGGGUUGGGUCGAGUCGAAAUAGUAGAGUUUUGAGCAAGAUAUGUGACCUCCGGAGUUGAGAUAGCAUAGUUUCGUGCGGGAGAGAGGAUCACUGGAAUUUCUUCCCCAUCAUCCACUGUUCCACUUGCAGCACGUCUUCUAUUUUCACCCCUGUUCAUCUCGGUUCUUGGAGGGGUCUCUGAAUCUUGCGCAAAGGAACUGGUCGCCCUGGUUUCUCCUGUAUCGGUCUCUGUGUUGUUCUUGGUUUGGGAGGAAUCAUCCACCUCAGGGGAGAAAGAAGCAUCGAUAUUAACCUUCAGAACACCAGGUUUCGGCUUUUGCCAUUUGUGGGGCCAUUUUCUGGAAGAUUGCAUUGUUUCGGUCCUUCCAGAUACACCAUAGGGUCAUUAAUACGAGAUCAAACUGAGAUUUGCAGGGGAUGCUGACGCCAUAUCGGUGCAGUCCAAGGGCAGAGUAGCAAAGUGUGUUCCAUUGUCUCAGGUUCCUGCUUGCACAGUGGACAUAUCGGUGCAGGCCCUAAGCAUGCCUAACCUGUUCCGCCACAUAGAGUUUGGGGUGCUAGUGGACUUGGACACCGACGUGACCUCUUCUCCGAUUGAGGGGAUCGACAUGGGAUAUGAGAAGUAUGUAACCAUCAUAUGGGUGGGUAAGGGUUGAUGAACCUGCCUCACAGGUUCAUGGCUUGGUAUGUAUAGGUCGGGGAGGAUCUAUUUGGCCUUCUUCGGGGCUUUGAUGAGCCUCUAGGUGGGGGACCCGAGAGUGCCAGUUGGGACCCCCCAUGGACGUGGAUUCCCUAAUGGUGUUGUCACCAACUUGGAGGCUGACUUGGAUCAAGACCCCAACCCCAAGCUUGAGCCAUGGUACCUUGAGUCGAUCGAUAUUAGGCAUGUGGGGUACAAUACUUUUUGAGGUUACCCUCAUAGUAUAGAGAUGCUAGACCAAUCCAACCGUCUUUUGACAUGCUGGAAGGAAUCUGCUAUAAAUGGGAACUUCUGACGCUUAAUCCGAAGUGUAAUGUAAAUAUAAUAUGAAAGUGUGUUUGAUGUAUGUUCUAUCUA